AUAUUAUAUAUAUAUAUGUGACAUAUCAGAAAUCUAAAAUAACGAUUUAAUAAAAGUUUGCACUCUUGUAUCAUCUAUACAUGGUUCUACAUAUAAAAUGACCAUAUAAAUCAAACCUUUAUUUUUAAUGAAUGCACGAACACGUACACAACAUUGUCCCACACCCUUUGAUGUUUGUUUGUGCAUUGAAUUAUGAUACAUUUAGUUGUCCACUUGAUAAUCAAAACACUAUAGAAAGUCGAAAUUUAUGCCCCCACUUGCUUUUGACUAUCUACUUAUUAUAUUAUAGUGUUUGUAAAAUUGGCUUUUUAGGACCACCUCCGUAUAUCUUGUAUUCUUCGUAUACAUAAAAAUAAUUAAAUUCAUUCAACUCAAAAAGUUUGCCCUCAUUGGAUAUUGUUUGCUAAAAAAGCUACUACUCCAAUAAUGUACUAACAUAUCCAAAUAGAUAACAUUCAAACAGUAUUUAUUUAUGUUACGUCAAGUCAAAUGUAAUCACAUAAAUUGAACGUAAAUGAAGAGGAGGGUUAUAUAUGAAGCCUUACAUAUCUACUUAUUAGGGAAGUGGUCUGAGGAAUAGCAGAAAUUGCAACUGUACUGUUGACAAGUCGAAGCAACUCAUGAUGUUCUAACCUCAAAAUAAUAUUGUUGGAAGAUAAAAAAUGAAGUUCAAUGCUCACUUCUCAGCAGAUGUUUUCACCAAUAUUCUUUUUCAGGAUGGUACUCUUGAGGGCGUGGAGCGGGAGGUUGCCUCCUUAUUUCACCUUCCCCACAAUUUUCAGCUAAUAAUUGAUCACGAGCUUCAACAUGUGGUACACCUUUUUAUAUAUAAAUACAUACUUCAUAUAUUUAAUAUACACACAAACAUCUUUAUAAUAACAUUUCAUUAUAAUAAUAUUAAGUUCUCUUUGAAAUAUUUGGAUUAAAAACAGUACUCCCUCCAUCUGAAAUUAUUAGUCAUGUUAUGCUUAUCAAAAGUCAAUUUAACUAGUUUUCAAAGGUAAAUUGGAUCACUAUAAUUCGAUAUUUUAAAUAAAAAUACUAGAUAUUCUAAAACUAUAUGAAAAGUACUGUAAAUCAUAAUUUUUUUUACAUAUUAAUAUGAUUAAAAAAAUACAUCUAAUAUUAAUAAUUUGAUUCUAAAAAUAGAAAUUAUAACGAACAAUAAUGGAGGGAGUAAUAAUAAAGUUAAUACAAGAAUUUAUCCAUAUACAUGUAACUAAAAUAAAUAAACAAUCUCUAUUAAAUACAUGUUUUUUUUUUGUUUUUGGAAAAAGUUUGUUCCGAAAUUUUCGGCCAAGUAGUUUGACUAGAAAAGGAAAAAACCGGAACUGUCACAACUGCAUAACCUGAAAUUCAGCCGGACAUCUUUUGGACUUCUUUUAUGUGUACAAUUCAUUUAUAUUGCUAUCUAAGAGAUAAUUAAUUUUAAAAUUAAUUAUUUUAUUUUUAAAACUAUAGAAAUGAGUUAUCUGGUCUUAAGAUAAAAACAUGAUUAGCUUCCCUAAAAUAAUCGAAUGUGAUAUUUCCAUCAUUCUUAUAUGUAUGUUGUUUUUAUUAUAAAUAGAUGUUUUUAAAUAUUUUUUCGUCCUUAUUACUUAUUUAAUUUUUCUUUUUUACUUGUCUAUGUUGAUAACUAAAAAAAAAGAAUUUUUUUUUACUUAUUAUACUCUCAAUUAAAUAUUUUUAAAAAAUGAAACUUCUUAAAAAUCUUAAAUUUUAAUUCAUCAUGUCCAUCAUUUUUUUGCAAUAGGUUCGUCAAUUCAAAAGUGAACAAGUACAGAGGAAAUACUCUUGUGUCCAUCUUUACUAUUCCGCUAUACUAAAAAUAAAUGUCCAAUCAAAAAUAUAUGGUCAGUUUAGAAAACUAAGAGAUAAUUUUAUCUUUUUUGUGACUAUUUUACUGUUACUGUUAAAUACAAUUUAACAUCUAAUACAUUUCUCAAAACAUAAAAUAAUAUAUUGAAAGGGUAAUAUAAUGUUAUUAUUCAUAUUAUUUACGUUUUAUUUAUAAGGCGUGUGUCAAGUUAUUGGCCUUAUAAGUAUAUAUUUGACCAAUAUAAAAAAAUUAAAGUGUUCUUUAGAACAUAAAAUCUAAAAUAAAGACAAUAAAAUAAAAACGAAAGAAGUAUAACAACCUCACUAAUUAUUAGUGAGUGUGAGUGCAAUUUAAGAUUGAACCUGCUGGACAAUGAGAAUUCAUUAUUGAAAAGAAAAAAGAAGGUUACCCUCUCCGUUUUAAAAUAAAUGAUGUUUUUAGCUUGAAAAAACUUAUUUUGUGUUUAUAUAUAUUACUUACCCCUACCCUAAUUAAUUAUGUUGAAGAAGUGAUUCUUUAAUGAUGUACAAUCUUAUGUAUUAUAAACAAUAAGAUCAACUAUUAAAAUAAAAAGGCUAAAAAAAUACCACUUCUUUUGAAACAAAGUUUAACCUUCUCCUUUGUAAAAGUUGAGGACAUUAUUUGAUUGAGAUUUUUUUAAACAAAUAAUAUGGAAAAGGGAUAUUUGCAAUUUAAAAUUAUGUUCUCAGUCCUCUCUCGCUGAAA